rnacentral:rRNA from 1 species
AUUGAACGCUGGCGGCAGGCCUAACACAUGCAAGUCGAACGAGUGGCGGACGGGUGAGUAAUGUCUGGGAAACUGCAUGAUGGAGGGGGAUAACUACUGGAAACGGUAGCUAAUACCGCAUACCAUCAGAUGUGCCCAGAUGGGAUUAGCUAGUUGGUGGGGUAACGGCUCACCAAGGCGACGAUCCCAAACUGGGCGGAGAGGAUGACCAGCGACACUGGAACUGAGACACGGUCCAGACUCCUACUGGAGGCAGCAGUUGGGAAUAUUGCACAAUGGGCGCAAGCCUGAUGCAGCCAUUCCGCGUGUAUGAAGAAGGCCUUCGGGUUGUAAAGUACUUUCAGCGGGGAGGCGUUACCCGCAGAAGAAGCACCGGCUAACUCCGUGCCAGCAGCCGCGGUAAUAC